rnacentral:rRNA from 1 species
GGGGAUGCGAGCGUUAUCCGGAUUUAUUGGGUUUAAAGGGCGCGUAGGCGGGAUGCCAAGUCAGCGGUAAAAGACUGCAGCUAAACUGUAGCACGCCGUUGAAACUGGUGACCUAGAGAGAAGUCGAGGGAGGCGGAACAAGUGAAGUAGCGGUGAAAUGCUUAGAUAUCACUUGGAACCCCGAUAGCGAAGGCAGCUUCCCAGUCUUUGUCUGACGCUGAUGCGCGAGAGCGUGGGUAGCGAA